rnacentral:lncRNA from 1 species
AUAAGAUAAUGGAUCUAAUGGGGAGCAAUUCAUUUCAAUGUUAUCCGAAGGCACAUAAUAAGGUAGCUCAUCGGCGGAGAAUGGGGUUAUGCAAUAGUUAAAGAACAAGAAACUAAGAGACAUAAUUGUAGCAAACAAUGAAUUUCUAUUUGUGUGUUUGCUCUUCUUGGAUAAAACAGCAGGUUUUGGAUGGUGGACACUAAUUAUUGGUUUGCAGCAAGGGAUGUGAUUAGAAAGUAGUUUCGAA